UCAUACAUGUCUUCCCAGUGUCGGAUGAGCCGAUCACUUUUGAAUCACAUGCAAAAUAAGGAAUGUUUUUAUUUAAUCAUCCCUUUUUUUCGCCCCUCUUAACAGAAACAGUAAAAGAAAGAAGAACAGAGGCAGAACGACACUCAAAACACGUGAGGACGUAACCUUGUAAGGCUGGCAGACUUGCAAAAGGCACAUUAGUAAUCUCGCAUAGCCAUCUGGCAUGCUCCUAUUGUGGCCCCUUGGAAAACAAAGAGACUCGCGAGAAUCCAAACUUGCUUCAGCAAGAGUGAAGAUGUGAUCUUAUGUCUUUUACGAGCAACAGCAGCAAAACAGCACCGACAUAUUCCUUCAGCCUUGUGCAAAGGGUGCAAACUUGAUAAGGGUUGUAUGGAGCCUAUCACAGCUGAAUUGGGGAACAUGCACAAUGCACCCUGGAUUAGUGGCCGAUCAAUCAGGUUCACAUGAUGGAGAGAGACAACUAUUCGCAUUCACGCUCACAUUCAUAACAUCACAGACGAAGACGUGAACCCACACUUCCUGCACUAGGUGAGUGAAUCAGCUGUGACUUGUUUGCUAAACAUGAACAUAAUAUUGAUUUGUCAAACAAAUAGAGUCGGGUUAUGUUCGACAAGAUGCCAAUAAAAUACGAAUGAACAUCAAAGUUUGAUGGAGUGUUCCGAGAUUUAAAAAAAUAAAACUGGUAAUCAUACCACAACACUGCAAGUUUCUUCUCCGCUAUGGUGGCUGAGUGGCUGGUGAAGUUCUUCAACCUCAUGGCAUACCUAGAGAGAGAGAGAGCGAGAAGGCGAGAGAGAGAGAUGAGAGAAGUAAACAUCCAUUUUCUAUAGUCCCUUGUCUUCAUGAGGGUGGUAGGAGCCUAUUUGGGGUGUGGAGGGUAUAUCCUAGACUGGUCGCCGAUAAAUCACAGGGCAAAUAUAUACACAACCAACCGUUAACAUCCGUGAAUAAUUAAGAGUCUUACAUGAAUCUAACAUGAGUUUAUUUUUUGGAAAGUCGGAGGAAAAGCAUAGGCAGAGUAUUCAUUUGCGACGAACCGUUCGUUAUUGGUAACAUUAACCUCUCAAAUAUGAAACGGACGUGAUAAAACACUACACGUGCUGAUCAAUAGUAAACAAAUACAGAACAGCAUUUCUAAAGGUUUGAAUAAUUUUGGACACUGACCAUGAGCCAAAGAAGCAUUUUUGACACUUUGGAAGCGCACAUUUCAAAGGACACAACUGACAUUUGGUUAUUGUGUUUUAUUUUUAUUUUUUUACAGGAAAGUGCUUCAGGGGUCAGAUGUUGCUU